rnacentral:rRNA from 1 species
AGCCGGGGCUUCUUCUGCAGGUACCGUCAUUAUCGUCCCUGCUGAAAGGACUUUACAACCCUAAGGCCUUCAUCGUCCACGCGGCAUGGCUAGAUCAGGCUUGCGCCCAUUGUCUAAGAUUCCC